CAGCCGCCGCGGUAAUACGUAGGUGGCAAGCGUUGUCCGGAAUUAUUGGGCGUAAAGGGCUCGCAGGCGGUUUCUUAAGUCUGAUGUGAAAGCCCCCGGCUCAACCGGGGAGGGUCAUUGGAAACUGGGAAACUUGAGUGCAGAAGAGGAGAGCGGAAUUCCACGUGUAGCGGUGAAAUGCGUAGAGAUGUGGAGGAACACCAGUGGCGAAGGCGACUCUCUGGUCUGUAACUGACGCUGAGGAGCGAAAGCGUGGGGAGCGAACAGGAUUAGAUACCCGCGUAGUCCCUGUCUCUUAUAC
rnacentral:rRNA from 1 species